UGUAAGCGGGGAAUAACCCGUUGAAAGACGGACUAAUACCGCACUAAUACUAAAUUACUGCAUGGUAAUUAUUUAAACAUUUAUGGCUUACAGAUGGGCAUGCGCAUGAUUAGCGUAGUUGGAGAGGUAACGGCUCCCCCAAGGCAACGAUCAUUAGGGGUUCUGAGAGGAAGGUCCCCCACACUGGUACUGAGACACGGACCAGACUCCUACGGGAGGCAGCAGUGAGGAAUAUUGGUCAAUGGACGAGAGUCUGAACCAGCCAAGUCGCGUGCAGGAAGAAUGUCCCUAUGGAUUGUAAACUGCUUUUGCAGGGGAAUAAAGUGCAUCACGUGUGAUGUUUUGUAUGUACUCUGCGAAUAAGGAUCGGCUAACUCCGUGCCAGCCGCAGC
rnacentral:rRNA from 1 species